GCUUCUGUAGCUUAGUUGCUUAGCGCUGCACUGGAAUCACAGCGUCGUAGGUUCAAUUCCUACCAAGGGAC